rnacentral:snRNA from 1 species
AUACUCUACUUUCUCUUCAAAUCGUGUAAAUCUUUCACCUUUUACUAAAGAUUUCUGUGGAGAGGAACAAUUCUGAGUCUUAAUCCGAUUUUUUGAGGUCCUGUUUCUGUGGGGCU